GGAAGACAGCCACCUGCAAACCGGAAAGAGAGCUGUCACCAAGAACCUGACUGUGCUGGCACCCUGAUCUUGAACUUUCAGCCUCCAGUACUGUUAGAAAUCAAUGUUGAUGGUUUACUCUACCCAGUCUAUGGGAUUUUUGUUACAGCAGCCCAAACUGAUUCAGAUGAGGCAACAAGGACACAACAAGAAGGCAGACUUCUGCAAGUGAGGAAGAGAACCCUAACCUGUAUCCCACCAUGCUGACACUCUGAUCUCAGACUUUCAGCUUCCAGAAUGC
rnacentral:lncRNA from 1 species